AUGUAUGCUAAAGGUUCUCCUAAAUUCAACUUGAUGCAAAGGAAAGUUGACAAGCCAAGGGCCCAAUGGAACCAAGGACUUGAUAAGUCCUUGGUAGAUUUGCUUCAUGAGCAUGAUGACCCUAAUCUAGAGGUGAUAAUGGUUGGGGAAGUGAAACAUGGAACCAGAUGGUCAAACAUGGAAAAUAAUGUAAAAUUCAGGAGAGGACCUUUCCCCCUAUAUGACAGGCUAGGAGACUUAUGCGAUGGCCAUACAACUGAGGGUACUUAUAAUUUCAUAUCUUCUGAACCAUCACAACAAGUUGGGCCAUCACAUACCCUGGAGGAAGGGGAUGUUGUUGCUACUGCUAGAGUUGGUGAAAAGGGGGUUGCCGAUGCGCAUCUCUUGGAGGAACCUCGGAAGGAGCCAAAGAAGCCAAAGAAGACUGGAGAUGCGAUGGUGGAAGUGAUGCAACAGUACAUGAAUAUAAAGAAGAAACAAGCGGAGGAUGAAGUCUCCCUUCAGACAAAAGAGUGCUGGAUUAGCACAUGGGCAAGAAUUCUCCAUCAGCAAGUGCAUUUCUCUAGUGCGCAAGAUGGAAGGCAUCACAUGCCAUGA
rnacentral:rRNA from 1 species